rnacentral:rRNA from 1 species
UACGGGGGGAGCAAGCGUUGUUCGGAUUUACUGGGCGUAAAGGGCGCGUAGGCGGCCAGCACAAGUCAGUUGUGAAAUCUCCGAGCUUAACUCGGAACGGUCAACUGAUACUGUGCGGCUAGAGUGCGGAAGGGGCAACUGGAAUUCUUGGUGUAGCGGUGAAAUGCGUAGAUAUCAAGAGGAACACCUGCGGCGAAGGCGGGUUGCUGGGCCGACACUGACGCUGAGGCGCGGAAAAGCCAGGGGGAGCGAACGGGG